UGUCUGUGAAGGUUCUCGUUCAUCCAGGUCAUGGUAUAUCUGUAAAAAAAUAAGUCAAGGCAACUGGACUUGCUGUAGUUAUUCUUGAAGACAUUCCACUGCGUGAGCUUACAG